CCUACGGGUGGCAGCAGUGAGGAAUAUUGGUCAAUGGACGAGAGUCUGAACCAGCCAAGUAGCGUGAAGGAUGACUGCCCUAUGGGUUGUAAACUUCUUUUAUAAAGGAAUAAAACGAUGCACGUGUGCCUUUUUGCAUGUACUUUAUGAAUAAGGAUCGGCUAACUCCGUGCCAGCAGCCGCGGUAAUACGGGGGAGGCAAGCGUUAUCCGGAUUUAUUGGGUUUAAAGGGUGCGUAGGCUGUGAGGUAAGUCAGCGGUGAAAUGCCACCGCCAAACGGGGUGAAGUGCCAUUGAUACUGGCUUGCUGGAAUGCGGAUGCAGUGGGAGGAAUGUGUGGUGUAGCGGUGAAAUGCAUAGAGAUCACACAGAAUACCGAUUGCGAAGGCAUCUCCCGAAUCCGCGAUUGACGCUGAUGCACGAAAGCGUGGGUAUCAAACAGGAUUAGAUACCCGAGUAGUC
rnacentral:rRNA from 1 species